GCAGUCGAGCGGUAGAGAGAAGCUUGCUUCUCUUGAGAGCGGCGGACGGGUGAGUAAUGCCUAGGAAUCUGCCUGGUAGUGGGGGAUAACGUUCGGAAACGGACGCUAAUACCGCAUACGUCCUACGGGAGAAAGCAGGGGACCUUCGGGCCUUGCGCUAUCAGAUGAGCCUAGGUCGGAUUAGCUAGUUGGUGGGGUAAUGGCUCACCAAGGCGACGAUCCGUAACUGGUCUGAGAGGAUGAUCAGUCACACUGGAACUGAGACACGGUCCAGACUCCUACGGGAGGCAGCAGUGGGGAAUAUUGGACAAUGGGCGAAAGCCUGAUCCAGCCAUGCCGCGUGUGUGAAGAAGGUCCUCGGAUUGUAAAGCACUUUAAGUUGGGAGGAAGGGCAGUUACCUAAUACGUAAUUGUUUUGACGUUACCGACAGAAUAAGCACCGGCUAACUCUGUGCCAGCAGCCGCGGUAAUACAGAGGGUGCAAGCGUUAAUCGGAAUUACUGGGCGUAAAGCGCGCGUAGGUGGUUUGUUAAGUUGGAUGUGAAAUCCCCGGGCUCAACCUGGGAACUGCAUUCAAAACUGACUGACUAGAGUAUGGUAGAGGGUGGUGGAAUUUCCUGUGUAGCGGUGAAAUGCGUAGAUAUAGGAAGGAACACCAGUGGCGAAGGCGACCACCUGGACUAAUACUGACACUGAGGUGCGAAAGCGU
rnacentral:rRNA from 1 species